rnacentral:lncRNA from 1 species
GAUGACUAAUCCCAGGACACGUCCCGUCACGGUCCACGCUGUACCUCGACAAGCACGGCCAGCACGGCCAGCCGCACAGCCGGGGCCCAGAGCGAGCCUUCGACACGAACACCCUUCCAGAAAACCGCGCUAUCAAGGAGCGCAUACACGGGCCGAACACUUCGACUUCCGUGCCCCGACUUUCGGCGCUUGUUUUCGAGGGAAAUGCACUGACUGGCCUGGUGAUGACACGUGCGGCUCCAUAGCUGAAAAAGAUUUCCCGCCUUGCUGGUAGACAGGCCCGCCACGCUCCGGUGUCCCAAACCAAGUUGCUGCCUACCUGGCGCCUGGCUGGUAGGCAGGCCCGCCACGCUCCGGUGUCCCAAACCAAGUUGCUGCCUACCCAGGCGCCAUUUUCCACUUCAGAUUGACACUUUCUCCUGGAUUGUGAGUUAUAUCGGACCAGCUUCAAGGGCCAGAGAGAAAGUGCAUUUUGGAUACAUUAUUAUGAGAAUGAAUACUGUAACGCAUUGGUCCUCACACAUAUGGAAAUGAGCAUGAGGAAGUGUUCUCUCAAUAAGUCCACUUGCAAGUAAAUCAAUGAUUUUGCCACGGACCAUUGCCACAUAGGUCUGCAGAACUGUGCAGAUGAUAUGAAAGGUUUUGGUCGGUAUUUAACUACUGUUGGUAAUGGAAAGGAGUCAUCCAUUUUUCCCUGAUCAACUUGAAAUUGCCAAUGUCCUAAUUGCUGAGUUACCAGAGCUGUACUUUACAAAUUAUUUUAUUGAAUGUCUCUAAGAUUUCACAAUCAACUAUUUUAAAAACAUCACAGAUUCAAUCCCAAGAAAAUGUACACUUUAUGGCACUGUAACAGUCGAGCCUGAUAAACGAUAUUUACAGAUGUAGAAAAAUCAGUUGGUUAUGCAUUUUGCCUAUUAACAUCAAUAUUCAUAAUAUAAUUUAUAUAUAAUAUACUUGUGAAGACUUUGAGACCCAAAUGCACGUUUCUCAUUCUGUAACAAAUUUUUGGUUUGUCUUUUUAAAAAAGAUAAAGAUGCUGCUCAUGAAUCAAUAUAAAGUCACAAUUUCAAAACUACAUUUUGCUGCAUUCGAGCUAUGUUGAUUGACAAUCACUUCAUUUACCUUUAACUCAAUAGAAUAAAAUGUUUUAUAGCCUUAACUACCCACUACACUCGGUUUUGAACCAAGUAGAACAAAAAAAGUGACUUAAAACGAAGUGCCACAAGAAUGGAAAGGCCCGAGUGAAGUUCCUUCAACCAUGAGUACUUAUUCGCUAAAACAAAACAAUAAAAAUGUUGUGUUUUCUUUGGUCUUCAACAUAAAGUUCUCUUUUACCGUCAUCCAGUUCUGUUUCCUUUUGAAGCGCAAAAAAGUACCCAUAAUUUCAGCUCUUUCACUUAGGCCUACCUCAAGUUGAGAAGAAUAAUACAACAAUUAUAACAGAGUUUGUUUGAAUAAAAACAACUAUCCCUCAUUUAUUUUGAUUAACAUUUACAGAGAAUGAAAAAUUGAAGCAAAAUUGAGUAAUAGGAGGAGGUUAUGGUGAACCAUACAUUUAUGGAUCAAAACAGGAAAAAUGUGACACAGUGAAGGGACUGGUAGAAAAGUAGUAACAGAAACAAUUGCUAGUUCUUGAAAACAAGAACAACUCCAAACAACUACCAAGCGUCACAGGUCCAUAAAUAACGGUCACAUUUCUUGCAAACAUUAAAUGGCAAGAAAAAAAUAGGCAUGAAUCAGCAUUUUGAAUCAAGGUUUGUGAAAAAUACCUUUAAAUGCUUUCUCUUUAUAACACAUAUAUAUGUAUAUAAACUCUCAACACAAUAAUUUGCACAUUUACACUCACUCUUCACUUUUCACAGAAAAUAUAA